CUUAGUUAGGUGGCUUCCUGGACGUUGUUGUGGUCAAGGAGAGUGCGAGUCGUGAUAUCCACCUGUCGUAAGUGGGUUGAGCGUGCGUGUGGGCACAUUUGGGCACCCCUGCAGGGUUACAAUCUUAUCGAUAAGCCGCGUCCGCGGUUAUGGACGACUUGGAGCUGUAUGACUCGACCAUAGACAACUUACACCUGUUGUUUCAAUAAUAAUAACUUGCAUAGUAAGAUAGAACAACUCAAAUAAUAACUGGUUAAAACUUGACAACCGUGUGAGUGCAUUUGUAAGUACUUCUUUGCGAAGGGGGAACACGUCGGCUGUGUUAUGUUUGCAGAGUAUAGAACUGCUAGUUUAUGCGCUCUCUCAUCCUCUCUGAUUAGACGAAUGUUGUAGAGUGUCUCUAUAGGUUUUUAGUGCUUGCGCGCUGCCGCUUAACUCCACCAUAUUGCCUAUGACGUUCCUCUUGCGUCCUCUAAGUCCCCUGCGUGCCUCAAGUACAAAGGACGACUGGUUGACGAAUGCUUAUACGUCUUGAAGUCUUGUUAAGUACGAACCCGUACUUAUUGCUGCUUCUACGGGAUAUAACCGGGCAGGUAUGAAGAUAUGUUCGAUGAAGACGACGUUAGCAAGGUUACCCUUCCGGCUUGGCCUGGGCAGGGUUAUGGACGCCACUGGUUAUCUUCAGGACUCUUAGUCCAAAUUUGUAUCUUGUCCGUACUCGGAUGUAUUUGAUCUUCUGUAUGAUUUGGAUCUUUGUAUGUAUCUAUUUGUAUCUUGACUCGUUGGAGUCGUUGUUGUAAUAUAUGUAUCUUGUGGGCUCUAUCGUAAA